GCUGCAGAGUGCAGCCUACAGGUAGGCAGGCCCUGAGCGGGCCGCUGGAGGAAAAUAAGGAUUAGGAACCCCCAUUCUUAUCCCUCCAAGGAGCAUACAGUUAAGCCAGAGGAACUGACCAUUAUCUUCUGGUCAAGGUGAUGGUUUGCUGCAAUGUAGAUGGAAUAAGGCUUUAAUUAAACACACGGCCUAUUGUUAAAUAUGAAGAGGUGGCCAGGAAGGGUCCCCAGGAGGAUUUUAGGUUAGAUAGUUUGCCUCUGCUGCUUGAGGCUUCUCAUCUUGGUAUCUUGGUGCCUAGUACAUCUUUUCAUUUGGUUUAUUUUGCACAUAGUGGGCAUUUGAUCGGCAUUUCUAGAAUAAGAGAGUUGAUGCCUAAAAGUCCAAGUUUUGCAUAUUUGAAUUUCAAGGCAGCCAUUUCCUGUCUCCAGGCACAAUGGGCCCUGAACUCUUGGAAAGCUGCUUCUUAAGGAAACUUUGCUUUGGAAGGAUUUGGCUCCCUGAAUCUAUUACCUAGUGCUUGGCCCCCGUUUUACAAAAUAGACAAAAAGCCUUCAAAGCCCAAACUGACUAUUUGUUGGUGUCACUAAGUGAUGCAAUGUUUUUGAUUUAACUUCCCCAAAAGACAGGAGUGAAGUAGGCGGGCUUGGGUGGAAAGGUGUGCGUGCUCAGAGACAACACACUCAUUCUGUAAGAAUCCGUAAGAUCUGCCCUGGUUUCUGGUAAAUGCUAGCACAGGCUGGGUGGCUCCAGGCGGUGGAAAAGCACUGAGCUGCUUCCUCUCUGCCGCUGGGGGGGCAGGGCAGGGUGGGGUGAGUGGAAGGAGCACAGCACCCACUCUCUUCACUCCGUUUCCUCACGUCUCAGCUGCCGGGAGAAAUGUCUGGAAGCGUUUUGAAGUCUCGCCGGUUCCUACUGCAUUGCGGCUCAAGACUCGGAGGGUAGACCCUGCUAAGCACCCUCCUUCCCACUGCCACCCCACCCCAAGGCUCCAGGGCAGAGCUCAGAUGGGGGUGCUUAGCCACUGCCUUCGCCUGGUGCACCUGCAGGCCGGCCCUCGCUAUGAGCACGCACGAGCAUCAGGGGAACUUCACGAGGGAGGCACCUGGUGCCCACUUUAGGCAGUGACUCUGGGAAGUCAGGUGGUAACGGUCAGCUAGUAAAUGUCCAAGCAGCAUUACUACUGCAGUUGCCUGACUUCAUAUCCCAAACUCAUUCUACUACCAGGAAGGUGAUUUGCUGGGGCUGGGCUGGGGAGCAGGGCACAGCCUGGCCAGGACAGCGAUCUUCCUGGAUGGGCUAGUGAGGCAGGCGCUGAGGGUGCCCGGCCUGCAGAGGCUGUGGAGGGAGGAAGCCUGGAGCUGAUGCCCUGGGAGGAUUGCUGGACACCAGGCUUACUGGGGCCCUGGAGAGCUAGCAGAGGAGCCUGGAGCCUUGUCCCUGUGUGUGGAGUUGGGGAACCCUCAGAGUAAACAGGCACAGAAACCAACCGAAGCUGUCAUUGUAACCCCAUAAAAGCUUAAGGGACAGCUGAAGGAUGGGGAGAGAGGAACAAAGAGGCUUCCGUGUAGCUGGCUCGUUUACCGCCAGCUUCUUAUUUAUCGGGACCGUGUCUUCCAUUUGUCAGGCUGUAACAAUAGUCACUGUAUGAGUAAGCAAUUUUUAACGAGCUUGUUCCAAAUGUGUAUUCCGUUCUUGGGACUCUGCAGCAGCUUGGUAAUUAUUGCCUUCGGUGGAAUAGCCAGGCUUUCAUGUAAGCAAUUUCACUUGGUUUGCCUUUUCCUCUUUGGGGCUUCCAAUAAGGUGAAGGGGUAGAAAAAUAUAAUAAUACUAGAUUUUUUUUUUUUAAAAGAGUGCUCAUUCUAUGCUAGACAUUGUUCUAGCUGUUACACAGUCUUCUUUUAAUUUUGUCCUAGUGUCACCUGGUAUUAAGGUAUUUUUACAUCCUUCAGUUUACAGAUGAAGAAACUGUGGCUCAGAUAAGUUUCGUGAAGUGUCCCAAGUUAGCAGAUAGUAAGUGGGAGAGAUAAGAUCUGGACCCAGGCCUGACAGCAGGCUGUGCUGUGAUGCCCUGCUGCAGACGGGCUGGGAGGGCCCAGGCUCACUCGCAAGGCUGCGAGGUCAUUUGCCACGUGGGCCCGUGCCAGAGAUGCUGGAAUAAGUGCUGGUGGCUCAGUAAUUGUAGACAAUUUUCUGGUCUUUGGCUUUCAUGGAAGGACAUAGGACAGUUGGAGAACUCCCUAAACUUGUUGCUGCCCAUAACACUCCCUUCUGCCUUGGCAAAUGACAGUUCCGUCCGUCUCACAGCUCAAAAAUAUUGCACAUGGUGAGCUGGCCUCAUCGUUGUGACACGCACUGUUAGUCUGCUACUCGAAUACCCACUGCCUUCCCCUCGGCACUGAGCUGCUGUGCGUCCCUGUGUUCAGACCCUCGCUUCCCCACCAUCCGGCACCCUGCUGCAGGUGGCCAGGGCUGUGGCACCCGUCACUCGCCCGGGCUGCUGAGCCACGAGGGACGCAGGAUGUCUGAGAGCACGCCGGGUCGCUUCUGGGUUCUGCUCAGCCACCUGCUUGCCCUGUGACUUUGGGCUGGUCACUUAACCUCUUGGAGCCUCUGUUUCCUCAGUAGUAAAAUGGGAGGAAGGAGAAAAACGUCUUCCUGAUGAGGACUAAAUAGAAGGAUGCACGGAAAAAGAUCGGCUCAGUACACUGUAGCUAUUGUUAGCAUUCUCUCAGCUCCUAUCUACACCCUCAGGACAAACACUUAGCACAAGCAAAGUUUGCUUUGGAGAAAGCUCCUCCGCCUCCCACUCUUCCUAUCCUCCAGUGUGCACAUGCCUGGUGACCUCCCGCCAACCCUGGCCUCCCAGCCUGCUCGUGGAGCACCCCAGCACCCCGCCACCCUCACCUUGUGGUUAGACAGAGCCAGCAGGUCCCUUACAGAGACAAGGAAAUUUGCUGUUUGACCCACCAAGCCGCAGCCCUGGCGAAUUAGCUCUCUGUGCCCACGUGUCAGCAUUGUAGAACAACAUGAACAACAUCCCAGUAACACACGGAUGGUCCUCUCCAAUCUGCAGAUGAGAAAACUGAGGCCCAGAGAGCGAAGUAAGUUGCCCAGAACACACCACGAACAAGUGGGCAGUCCAGGUCAUUUCCCCGCACCCUGAACACACACAGCUGUGUAUCAGGCUUCGAAGAGGAAGAGAUGGAUGCAAUACGUAGGCUCUGGCCCGCAAGGUCAGAGUCUAGGGAGGAAUCAGGGCAUUGGGUGGCGGUGUGGGAAGAGCCCUGAGCCGCCAGAGGACAUCAGGGCGGCGUCAGAGAGGCUUCUUCCGCAGCCUGGAGGGCGAGCCAAGACCUCCUGGAGGAGGCGCUGCUGGGCUGUGUCAGGAGGAGCAGGAGGCAGUGAGGAGGAGACGUUCAGAGAGGCUGUGGUCUCUCCAUGCUGAGGAUCUGCUGUGCUCCACUUCUCUUAGUGGCCUUGGGGGAAGUUGGGCGGAGGAUGGGCUGGGAAACCAAAGUGUACAGCUAAGGCAAUAAUUACUAAGAAAACAGAUCUGUUCCUAAGGGAUACUCCCUAAUUAGGCCUCACCACUUGGCUUUCUUCUCCUGAAGGCUCUUGGGAUCUGCCAGGAAAUACCUUAUCCCAUAGCCCAGGCCUAAUGCAAGGAGCAGGACUUUCGGUCUGGGUGGGAAAGCCCUGUAAGAAGGAUAACUGUGACCAGAUAAGUGAGGGGGAGCGACACGGAGACCCCUUCUGGUGUUGGACCUAGGAUCAUAGGACCAGGGGCCGGAAGUACCCUUUGUUCUUUCAGGAAACUCAGCUGAAGAUAAGAGUGAUGUGCUCCAGGCGGUACCUGAGGUAGACACGGAGCCAGAGGAGAGGCCUGUCUCCUGACCCUGCCUGCAUCUUCUGCACACACGUACCUGCACCCCUGCUACGGUGCUGCCCAUUGCCACAUGUUGAAAAUACUGCCUAGUUACCUUUUAGAUGCUGUUACAGCUAUCUUUCCUUUCCUUAGAGAAGACCGCUGAAGGACUGCAUUGCAUUGGUAUUUGCAGGCUCAGUGCCCAUCACAUUGUCUAAUAUAGAAUCUGCACUAAGGAGGUCCCUGUAAUUAUCUGCCCUCCCCUGCUCUCCUUCCUCCCUUUUCUUUCCUUCUUCCUCCUUCCCUCCCUUCUCUCUCUCUUUUUCUUCCUUCUUUCCUUCCUUCCUUCCUUCCUUCCUUCCUUCCUUCCCUCCCUCCUUCCUUCCUUCCUUCCUUGGUGCUGGGGAUUGAACCUCAGUCCUCGCCUGUGCUAGGUAAGUACUCUACCACUGAGCUACAUACCCAGCCCUUCCCUGUAAUAUUUAUAUCCUUGACUGUGCACACUGAAGCCCCCAUUUCGAGUUGAGAUUUGAUAGAACACUUGGAUUUCAGGGAGAUCUCAUGAUUAACGGGUUUUCAUGUCCAUUACCUUGUCCUGGCCCCUAUUCAAAUACAGCUAUUCUUCCAUUUUCCGGGUUAUUUUUUGCAUUCUCAAUUUUGACAGUUAAAUCCACCCAUUUAAUCUUUGCUUUAUUUCUCGGUUUCAGGAGAUUAUCUAGCAUGUCUAAUAGAGCAACAAGUCAUGUCCCGUGGCUCCACGCCUGCCAUUCCACAGCACACCAAAAUCAACCACAAGCCUGUGCUGCCAGCCUCACCCAUGUCAAGGGUGGAGAUGGGGCCAUUGCUCUCGCCCUGUGUUUCUGCAGCCCUCUGUGCUGUCUUCACCACAGGACUGGAAGCUCUGGGGGGGCAGUGCAGAACUCAUUUGACUUGGGCACUAUAUUGGACACUCAGAAUUUACCGUAGUUCUGCACAGAGCAGGCACGCUGUGGGCAUGCGCAGAAGGAAGGAAUAAGUACAUCAGAUGUUAGACUGUGUGCAUGGGUGUCAUGUAGUUUAGUGAAUUUCUGUGGCGAUACGGUGCUCCCAUGAGGUCAGGGAUCCACAGAUUGGAAAUCAUGGAUUUACAUUUACAUUAUGUGCCCAGUGUUUUGUGCCAUGUUCAUCAUAGAGAACUUUGUGUUCAGUAGACCACAAACUCGGCUCUGGGGGCAGACAAUUGAUGGCAGGGCCUAGAUGUCCUUUCCAACAUGGAAAGUCCAAGGAGAGGACAGAACGCUUUGCUUUCAAGAAGGCUGCAACUUCCUGACGCCCACGGGACAGGCAUGCUGAUGACAGCUUCUCUCAAGAGCCAGCUUCUAACAUUUGUAGGAGCAAAACAUAAGAUAAUCUGCAGGAGCCCGUAGGCAGUCUGGUUGUUAUUUCAACCCAAAACAGGCCUGCAAACUUACUUUGCCUGUUUCCUCUGUCAACGUAUUUGUGUGGAGUGUUGAUAACCGAAGUGACACACAGUAAAUAGCCUUUGUUUUGUAAGACAUUUGCUGUGAGUGGGGUUGAGCAGGGAAAUAUAGGAGUUGAAAGAAAGAAUGCAUGGUCUAAAAUAUGUGCCUGUGUAUGUGCCUCACAGUGUGUGUGAACAUUUAAACGCCGACAUCUCUCUUCCCUCUUUAGUUAACAGCUUCUUUGCUUGAUGCUCCCGGUUCCUUUUUAUAGUCUCCAAACAAAGAGGAACCUAUACUCCAGGUGUGCACAAAUCAAGCAGGUUUCCUAUUUAAGAUUCAGAAAUUCAUAGCCCUGAGGAAAUGAGUUAAAGAGAGGAGAGGACAGAGCAAGAGACAUGAAAAACAGAAUCUUCACCACCUGCUAUUUAGUGAUUAGCUCCCCGAUAAGCAAGGCAGAGAAGCAUUCCAGGAGCUCAGGGCUUGCCCAGGCAGGGCUCAGAGAAGGAGGUCUCGGAGACAGAAGCUGGGAGAUGGAGGGGAGGAGGGCUCCUAAAGCAUCUGCUCUCGCUUCUCUCCCCAGCUCCUCCAUUUCACACAGCUCUUACAUAUUUGAGUCCUCUUUCUAUUCCCCUUACCUCACCUGCCUUGGUGUAGGGAAGGGAAUCUGCUAAAGACUAGCUCUGCCACCAUCUGGCUGCGUGACCUGAGCAAAUCACUUGCCUUCUCAGAUGCAGAUCUAGUGGCUACAGUCUCUUGAAUUGAAAUAACUAAAUUCAAAAGCAUAUGAAAAAAGCCAAGGACAACAACCCCACCUCCUGAUUUUAAAAAAAUUCCAUAAUGCUGGGCAGCAGGAACCCGGAGAGCCCGUGGGUGAGCUGCUGCCUUGCCCUCCAGCUCCUGCCCUGCCCUCCAGCUCCUGCGUGUGUGCACACUCACCUGCAGGGGGUGGGGGAACCAUUGUGGAAAGCGUGCACUUACCAGUGCCAGAGAAGCAGGGUACGUGGUUAUGGUGCCUGCCGUUCUCAGGAGAAAGGGUGAAGACGUUUUCUGCAGAGCCUCCCUUUGUGUGCACGGCCCUUGUGGCCACAACAUGGCCCCAGGUUCUGGACAGAGGGUACAAGGAGCCGUGGGCUUGUUGGGGCUGCAGGGCCUCUUUCCCCAUUAGCUGCCCCUGCUCCCUUUGUUCUUGGGGUGCGUGUGUCAUAUCCCUGACAACAGCCCUGUGUUCAGGUUUUCCAGUGUGGUAAAGUCAGUGCUUGGCCUUCUGGCCCCUAGAGUAGGUACCAGGAGCCAUCAAGCCUGGAGAGAUACAAGCCUGGGUUACUUAUUCACCCCAAUUUUCAUUUUGUAUUGUCUCCCAUAAAAAAAUAAAUGUGGAGCCAUGAACAAGUAUGCUAACGUAGAACAUAAAUACUCUGGUGAUUAAAAACUGGAAAUCACCAGCUUUGAAAUUUCUCAAAAAAUAUAGCCACAGAUGUCACCCAAAUGUCAGUCACACACGGCUGUAAAACCCAGACUGUAGACAUCGCCUUGUGAAGAGAUCCCAGAUGCAGCCGCUGGAGAAAUUCUCACAGCUUAGACAAGCUAGAUUUCUGCUUCAAUUCCUUCUUCCUGUCUUUUUUUUUUUUUUUUGAGGGGAGGGGAGGGGUUGUACAUCAAACUAUUCAUUUCAAUAUGUAAUUUGCCUCAAAGAAUUUAUUUCUGGCUUAAUUUAUUUUCUCACCAACCUAAAUCCAAUUCAAAAAGCAUUUCUUGAAGCCUGAACAAUCUGCUUUUGGUUGACGAGUGCUAAUAGGUGCAAUGCUACCCUGUCAGCUUAUGAGGACACCUGCUGAGCUCAGAGCCACACAGGGAAAAAUUAAACUAGAGUUUGAAUUUGUUUCCAUCUGAAAUCUUGAGUCAUAGCUGGACAUGUAUGAGACACAAUGAGAAACAAAUUGCAUUGUGGAUUCAUUUUUUGUUUACAAAGGGAAAGACUUAAAAAUUCCAAGUUGGAAGAUGUUCACGCCUUGGAUAUGCCUGUAUGACAGAGGGAAUAUAUCUGCAGGAAAGAAUGAAUGAUGUAAAAAAGCCUUUUUUCAACACCUCUUUGCUAAUUCUUGGAGUAAACAAAUACUUCCA